rnacentral:rRNA from 1 species
UACGGGGGGGGCAAGCGUUGUUCGGAAUUACUGGGCGUAAAGGGCUCGUAGGUGGCCAACUAAGUCAGACGUGAAAUCCCUCGGCUUAACCGGGGAACUGCGUCUGAUACUGGAUGGCUUGAGUUUGGGAGAGGGACGCGGAAUUCCAGGUGUAGCGGUGAAAUGCGUAGAUAUCUGGAGGAACACCGGUGGCGAAGGCGGCGUCCUGGACCAUCACUGACACUGAGGAGCGAAAGCCAGGGGAGCAAACGGG